rnacentral:lncRNA from 1 species
UAAAGCGUCCCGUGUAUAUAAAUAUAUAUAUUCUUCCUCUCUCCCAUCCCCACCACCCCAUCGCCCAAUUGUACAUAUCAUUUUCCUCUAGACCAAACAAAAAAAAAAAAAAAAAAAAACAACAACAACGCCUCUCUCUGUAGUCCUCCCUCCAUGAAUCUCUGAUCGGGGUGUAAUGUGGUUUUCGCGCACAAUGUCUCGCUAAUUUACACAUGCAUUGUACAAGGUAUGAUGAUGACGACGAGCAAAUAAAGUGUACUAAUUGGCGGAGACUCACAUUAAACACACCGAUCUGGGUAAAAAAAUCAAGAGGAAUGGAGGUGCAGAGGAUGAGGCAGUUGAUGUUAUUAUGGUCUAGAAUGCAAAGCGCUCGUGUGGCCCUCGUGGGUGGGAAUCACACAGCCGCCCGGUUUUGCACUCGCUAAAUUAUUUUCGCUCUUCGUGUGGCCCUCUCCCUCUCUCUCCCAAAACAAUCAUUCAUCUGCUCUCUUUUCUUUUUUUUUUCUCACAAUUCAAUCUUUUACCUGUCCGACCGAAUUAUUAGUCUAGAAAUUCUCAAACUUGCACACAGUAUUAAUACCCAAAUUUUUUUCGCAACU